CUUAAUUUGAGGAUUUAAGGUUUAACCUGCCCACUGAGGAGUUAAAUGGCCGCGGUAUUUUGACCGUGCAAAGGUAGCAUAAUCAAUAGUUUUUUAAUUGAAAGCUGGAAUGAAAGGUUGGAUAAGAAAAUAACUGUCUCUAUUAAAAGAAAUAGAAUUUUAUUUUUAAGUAAAAAAGCUUAAAUUGUUUUAAAAGACGAGAAGACCCUAUAGAGUUUGAUAAUUGAUAGUUAAUAAUUUAUUGGAAUUUUUGACGUUAUUAGUUGAUAAUUAUUUGAUUGGGGUGAUUGGAAAAUUAGUUAAACUUUUUUUGUAUUAAAACAUUGAUUUAUGAAUAGGUGAUCCGUAUAAACGAUUGAAAGAUAAAAUUACCUUAGGGAUAACAGCGUAAUUAAUCUUGAGAGUUCAAAUUGAAAGAUUAGAUUGCGACCUCGAUGUUGGAUUAAAAUUAAAUUAUGGUGCAGAAGCUAUA
rnacentral:rRNA from 1 species